rnacentral:rRNA from 1 species
AGGGAUUGCCCUAGUAACGGCGAGUGAAGCGGCAACAGCUCAAAUUUGAAAUCUGGCUCUCGGGCCCGAGUUGUAAUUUGUAGAGGAUACUUUUGAUGCGGUGCCUUCCGAGUUCCCUGGAACGGGACGCCAUAGAGGGUGAGAGCCCCGUCUGGUUGGAUGCCAAAUCUCUGUAAAGUUCCUUCAACGAGUCGAGUAGUUUGGGAAUGCUGCUCUAAAUGGGAGGUAUAUGUCUUCUAAAGCUAAAUACCGGCCAGAGACCGAUAGCGCACAAGUAGAGUGAUCGAAAGAUGAAAAGCACUUUGAAAAGAGAGUUAAAAAGUACGUGAAAUUGUUGAAAGGGAAGCGUUUAUGACCAGACUUGGGCUUGGUUAAUCAUCUGGGGUUCUCCCCAGUGCACUUUUCCAGUCCAGGCCAGCAUCAGUUUUCCCCGGGGGAUAAAGGCGGCGGGAAUGUGGCUCUCUUCGGGGAGUGUUAUAGCCCACCGUGUAAUACCCUGGGGGGGACUGAGGUUCGCGCAUCUGCAAGGAUGCUGGCGUAAUGGUCAUCAACGACCCGUCUUGAAACACGGACCAAGGAGUCGUCUUCGUAUGCGAGUGUUCGGGUGUCAAACCCCUACGCGUAAUGAAAGUGAACGCAGGUGAGAGCUUCGGCGCAUCAUCGACCGAUCCUGAUGUUCUCGGAUGGAUUUGAGUAAGAGCAUACGGGGCCGGACCCGAAAGAAGGUGAACUAUGCCUGUAUAGGGUGAAGCCAGAGGAAACUCUGGUGGAGGCUCGCAGCGGUUCUGACGUGCAAAUCGAUCGUCAAAUAUGGGCAUGGGGGCGAAAGACUAAUCGAACCUUCUAGUAGCUGGUUUCCGCCGAAGUUUCCCUCAGGAUAGCAGUGUUGAACUCAGUUUUAUGAGGUAAAGCGAAUGAUUAGGGACUCGGGGGCGCUAUUUAGCCUUCAUCCAUUCUCAAACUUUAAAUAUGUAAGAAGCUCUUGUUGCUUAAUUGAACGUGAGCAUUCGAAUGUAUCAACACUAGUGGGCCAUUUUUGGUAAGCAGAACUGGCGAUGCGGGAUGAACCGAACGCGAGGUUAAGGUGCCAGAGUAGACGCUCAUCAGACACCACAAAAGGUGUUAGUACAUCUUGACAGCAGGACGGUGGCCAUGGAAGUCGGAAUCCGCUAAGGACUGUGUAACAACUCACCUGCCGAAUGUACUAGCCCUGAAAAUGGAUGGCGCUCAAGCGUCUCACCCAUACCUCGCCCUCAGGGUAGAAACGAUGCCCUGAGGAGUAGGCGGACGUGGAGGUCAGUGACGAAGCCUA